UUGAAGAAUAUGAAAAUGACUUUCCAAAUCUCUGAACCCUAAUUUCAUGAGAGCGCUUCACGAAUUUUGGUUUUCUUCGCCGGUGACUGCCGAUCCUGCCUCCGUCCUCACCAUCCAUCGUCAUCGCCGAUCUCAUCGCCGGUCGCCGCUGUUCUCGCCCCCGCUCCUAUGAAAGUUUAGGAUUUCAAAUGCCUUUGACUUGCACUGAUCUUCUUCUUUAAUUUAUCAAAGAAAUGUCUCGCUUGGAUAAGAGUUAUGUGUGCAGAUAGUUUGCUCACACAUCGCUCUAAGUAUGGGUUCAGAAUCUUCAGAUUGUUAGCAAAUGGGCAGGGGACAAAAUAAACACUACUGGACAUUGGAAGAAGAUAAGGCCUUGAUCAAAGCUUUAAUUGAGCUAUCUAAGGAUGCCAUGUGGCGGUCUGAAAAUGGGUUCCGACAUGGUUAUCUAUUUCAGUUGGAAAAAAUGAUAAAGGAAAAGUUUCCUCGAACUACGCUUAAGGCCAUGCCGAAUAUUGAGUCUCGAGUGAAACUUUUUAGAAGCAAAACUGCUGCCAUUGCUGAUAUACUACGUGCAAGUGGUUUUGCUUGGAAUCAAGAAAGUAGCACUAUCGAGUGUGAAAAAAGUGCAUAUGACGAAUAUGUCAAGGAUCACAAGGAAGCAGUUGGACUUUAUGGAAAAUCUUUUCCUUUCUUUAAUGAUCUUGCCCAAGUUUUUAAAAAGGAUAAAGCGCAUGACAAUGCAAAGGAUGAUAUUGGAGAUGACGCAGUUCAAAAUGAAAACAUCAGUUUUAAGGAUAGAGCACUUGCCAUGGCAAGGGGUGAUAUUGGAGAUGACACAGCUCAGUAUCUACAUGAAAAUUAUAGUUUGGAUGGGGACCGAAGCUUCUCUCAAAUUCCAAGUGAUGAUUUUGUUAUGCCCACACAGGAACCCAUUGACUCUCCAUCACCGAUGGCAUCAAAUAACAGUGUCUCAAAAACAUUUGGACGUCGAAAGAGGAAAGUUCGUGCUCGGGACUCAACAAUGGAGGCAAUAUCUGAAAAUUUUCGCCAUUUUAUAGAAAUAGUUGGCUCUGGAUUUAAGAUGAUGGCCGAAACUGCUGCUCGUAAUGCCGAAACUGCAGCGCGUAAUGCUGAAACUGCAGCACGGAAUGCUGAAAUUGUGGCUCGCGAUGCUGAAGUUGCUGCUCGCAGAGAGGCAGCUCGUAAAGAAAUUGAAAAAAAGAAAAAAUUACUGAAUCAAGUAAUUUUUAAGAUCGAUGGACUUUCCGAUGAUGAAGCGAUGGUUAUAUUGCAAGUUUUGGGAAAAGAUGAGGACCAACUUAAAAUAUUUUUUGAUUUGCCAGAUGACAAAAAGCUCUGUUUUUGUCGUGUGUUUUUAGCAAGAAUGUCACAUUGUCCGCCUGGUGUGAAACUUAUAUCCCAGUGACUGCCAUGGGUGCCGGCUGAAGCAUUCUACUUAAAUGUAAAUGUUUACACAUUUUAUCAUCUGUUCAUUUCUUACUCUCUUUCCGGGGAAGUGAGACGUAUUUACCACUAGCUUUAGACAGCCCAAUUUUAUGGAAUUUACUUGCUACCGAAGGGAUAUAUCUAAAACUGCAGUUCAUUCUCUGUUGGACAUUGAUGACAAUUAGUUUUCAAAAAUACGUGAGAUAUCAUCUGGACAAGAAUGAAGUUAUGAAGCAUCAGCAUUCAUCGUCCUAGUCUUUUGGAAUAUAAUGAGCAACAAAGAGGUUUGAAGAUGAAAGAUCUUGAAUGGAAGAGUUUAGUCAGCUGAUAAAUAGUGGAAAGACCUGAGAAGCAGCACAAAAACUGAGUUUAUUGCAAUGCCAUGAAUUUUGUUUAGUACUAUGAUUCUUUUAUACAUGUAUUAAUGAAUAAAAUGUGGUAUUAUUGGUUCUCUAGUCCAAAACACUAGUUUCUAAAUCUUUUUUAUCUAUAAAUAUAGGUCAACCUCAAGCUCAAUUACUGUGCAUCUUUUUAUGUAAUUGUAGAGCUAUUCUUUCUGAGUUUCUGCUGAACUUUUGGUCGUUGAUAC